rnacentral:rRNA from 1 species
CCUACGGGAGGCAGCAGUAGGGAAUCUUCCACAAUGGGCGAAAGCCUGAUGGAGCAACGCCGCGUGGGUGAAGAAGGUCUUCGGAUCGUAAAACCCUGUUGUUAGAGAAGAAAGUGCGUGAGAGUAACUGUUCACGUUUCGACGGUAUCUAACCAGAAAGCCACGGCUAACUACGUGCCAGCAGCCGCGGUAAUCCGUAGGUGGCAAGCGUUAUCCGGAUUUAUUUGGCGUAAAGGGAACGCAAGCGGUCUUUUAAGUCUGAUGUGAAAGCCUUCGGCUUAACCGGAGUAGUGCAUUGGAAACUGGGAGACUUGAGUGCAGAAGAGGAGAGUGGAACUCCAUGUGUAGCGGUGAAAUGCGUAGAUAUAGGGAAGAACACCAGUGGCGAAAGCGGCUCUCUGGUCUGUAACUGACGCUGAGGUUCGAAAGCGUGGGUAGCAAACAGGAUUAGAUACCCUUGUAGUC